UACGAAGGGGGCUAGCGUUGUUCGGAAUCACUGGGCGUAAAGCGCACGCAGGCGGUCUGCUAAGUUUGGAGUGACAGUUGGUGGCUUAACUGCCAAAGUGCUUCGAAAACUGACAGACUUGAGGGCUUCAGAGGGACACGGAAUUCCGGGUGGAGUGGUGAAAUGCGUAGAGAUCCGGAGGAACACCAAAGGCGAAGGCAGUGUCCUGGGGAGUACCUGACGCUCAGGUGCGAAAGCCAGGGGAGCGAACGGG
rnacentral:rRNA from 1 species